UACGAAGGGGCUAGCGUUGCUCGGAAUUACUGGGCGUAAAGCGCACGUAGGCGGAUUGUUAAGUCGGGGGUGAAAUCCUGGAGCUCAACUCCAGAACUGCCUUCGAUACUGGCGAUCUCGAGUUCGGGAGAGGUGAGUGGAAUUCCUAGUGUAGAGGUGGAAUUCGUAGAUAUUAGGAAGAACACCAGUGGCGAAGGCGGCUCACUGGCCCGAUACUGACGCUGAGGCACGAAAGCGUGGGAGCAAACAGG
rnacentral:rRNA from 1 species